AGAGUUUGAUCCUGGCUCAGGACGAACGCUGGCGGCGUGCCUAAUACAUGCAAGUAGAACGCUGAAGGAGGAGCUUGCUUCUCUGGAUGAGUUGCGAACGGGUGAGUAACGCGUAGGUAACCUGCCUGGUAGCGGGGGAUAACUAUUGGAAACGAUAGCUAAUACCGCAUAAGAGUAGAUGUUGCAUGACAUUUGCUUAAAAGGUGCAAUUGCACCACUACCAGAUGGACCUGCGUUGUAUUAGCUAGUUGGUGGGGUAACGGCUUACCAAGGCGACGAUACAUAGCCGACCUGAGAGGGUGAUCGGCCACACUGGGACUGAGACACGGCCCAGACUCCUACGGGAGGCAGCAGUAGGGAAUCUUCGGCAAUGGACGGAAGUCUGACCGAGCAACGCCGCGUGAGUGAAGAAGGUUUUCGGAUCGUAAAGCUCUGUUGUAAGAGAAGAACGAGUGUGAGAGUGGAAAGUUCACACUGUGACGGUAUCUUACCAGAAAGGGACGGCUAACUACGUGCCAGCAGCCGCGGUAAUACGUAGGUCCCGAGCGUUGUCCGGAUUUAUUGGGCGUAAAGCGAGCGCAGGCGGUUAGAUAAGUCUGAAGUUAAAGGCUGUGGCUUAACCAUAGUACGCUUUGGAAACUGUUUAACUUGAGUGCAGAAGGGGAGAGUGGAAUUCCAUGUGUAGCGGUGAAAUGCGUAGAUAUAUGGAGGAACACCAGUGGCGAAAGCGGCUCUCUGGUCUGUCACUGACGCUGAGGCUCGAAAGCGUGGGUAGCGAACAGGAUUAGAUACCCUGGUAGUCCACGCCGUAAACGAUGAGUGCUAGGUGUUAGACCCUUUCCGGGGUUUAGUGCCGCAGCUAACGCAUUAAGCACUCCGCCUGGGGAGUACGACCGCAAGGUUGAAACUCAAAGGAAUUGACGGGGGCCCG
rnacentral:rRNA from 1 species